UGGGGAAUCUUGCACAAUGGAGGAAACUCUGAUGCAGCGACGCCGCGUGAGUGAUGAAGCCCUUCGGGGUGUAAAGCUCUUUCGACGGGAACGAUAAUGACGGUACCCGGAGAAGAAGCUGCGGCUAACUACGUGCCAGCAGCCGCGGUAAUACGUAGGCAGCAAGCGUUGUUCGGAAUUACUGGGCGUAAAGAGUGUGUAGGCGGUGCUCUAAGUUCGGUGUGAAAUCUCCUGGCUUAACUGGGAGGGUGCGCCGGAAACUGGAGUGCUCGAGCGUGGGAGAGGAAAGCGGAAUUCCUGGUGUAGCGGUGAAAUGCGUAGAUAUCAGGAGGAACACCUGUGGUGUAGACAGCUUUCUGGACCAUAGCUGACGCUGAGACACGAAAGCGUGGGUAGCAAACA
rnacentral:rRNA from 1 species